GGCCUCGUAGCUCAGCUGGUAGAGCAUGCGCGUACAAAGCGUAGGCGGUGUCCAUGCGUGGGUUCCAACCCCACCGACUA
rnacentral:tRNA from 1 species